rnacentral:rRNA from 1 species
AUACGUAGGGUGCAAGCGUUAAUCGGAAUUACUGGGCGUAAAGCGUGCGCAGGCGGUUUUGUAAGACAGUGGUGAAAUCCCCGGGCUCCACCUGGGAACUGCCAUUGUGACUGCAAGGCUGGAGUGCGGCAGAGGGGGAUGGAAUUCCGCGUGUAGCAGUGAAAUGCGGAGAUAUGCGGAGGAACACCGAUGGCGAAGGCAAUCCCCUGGGCCUGCACUGACGCUCAUGCACGAAAGCGUGGGGAGCAAACAGGAUUAGAUACCCUGGUAGUCCACGCCCUAAACGAUGUCAACUGGUUGUUGGGGAUUUAUUUUCUCAGUAACGAAGCUAACGCGUGAAGUUGACCGCCUGGGGAGUACGGCCGCAAGGUUAAAACUCAAAGGAAUUGACGGGG